ensembl:lncRNA
UUCCCUCCUUUUUUAAUUGGAACUCUUUUUUUUUUCUUUUCUUUGGACUAGGUUCUUCUGCCCCAAAAAUUCCUCUUCAUUUUUGGAGAAUGAAUGUUCAGCUGGCCACUACUGCCCUACCGGUACUGCUGCUGCCACUCAGUUUCCAUGUCCCCAGGGAACUUACAACCCACAAAAUGGAAGCAGCCUGUUGUCUCACUGUACCCCCUGUGACCCAGAUAACAAUCACUGGAGGACCAUGUCCACCUGGACAUUACUGCGUGGUGGGGAGCAGCAGAGCCCAGCCUUGCCCUGCAGGGAGUUAUAACCCAUCCUGGAGUAUGGCACAGUGUUUGGAGUGCCCAGAAGGUUUUUACUGUAAGACUGCUUCCACAAACUACACAGAUUGCCCUGCAGGUGGGUCUGAUUGCACCUACCCACUCAUUCAGGGAAAUUUCAUUUAAAGGAUUAACAGAUGCUCUAAUAGUGGAUUUGUCAUUGGACCAUGUUGCAUGGAUCAUGAGCCUCUUCCACUGGACAAAUCAAUGACCUUGGCCAAAACUUACAACCUCUUCGUGAUUCAGUUCCUCGUCUGAAUGUGAAAAAAAAAAAAGUAUAACAUAAGUAUAACAUAGCAGAGAUAGUUUUGGCAGUAGACAUUUAUAACAUACUUCGAGAUGUUAUUAGAAAACUGGUUGCUGUUAAAACUAUUGCUAAUCCUCAGCACCCAUCAGCUUCAUUUUAUGGUGCUGAUGUGCUGAAGGCAUCACACACUUGAGAUAAAUUGCAAGAUGGGCCCACCAUCAUAGCUUGGUUUCAGUCCUUCUCAGAAAGAGAUGAAGCGAAAGCUGUGUGUGCAAGCUGGGGGUUCUUCCCAGGGUAUUACCAGCAUCUGUUAACCUUUAUGAAACUCAUCUUUUCUUUCCUAGGUCACUACUGCCCCAGGAAUACAGAAUUUGCCUCUCAGUAUCCUUGUCCUCCUGGAACCUACAGUGAAGCUUUAAAUAUCUGGGAUGCUUCCAAGUGCCAGCUGUGUCCUCCUGGAAGGGUCUGUUCCAAGCCAGGCCUACAGAGACCAGAUGGACUGUGCACACCUGGAUGGUUUUGUCCACCUGGAUCCAUGUCAAGCAAACCGGUGUUUCCUGGAAACCAUUCUGGCAUGGCAGCUCCAGCUUCUAGAUCUUUUGGGCAGUGCCAAGCAGGAACCUUUUGUCCUACUGGUUCAUACCUUCCUAUUCCCUGCCCACCAGGUUUGUACUGUGCAACUGCAGAGCUUGCAGCUCCAUCAGGUCCCUGUGAGGCUGGCUUCUACUGCACAGGGGGCUCCACGCUCCCAAACCCUAUGGGUGGUACAGUGGGGAACAUCUGUCCUCGAGGUCACUUCUGUCCUGCAGGAAGUUCCUCUCCAUCUCCGUGUCCCCCAGGAUUGUGUUAUGCUGGCUAUUUCUGUGAUGCUGGGUCCACACAGCCGGACCAUAAGCAGUGCCCCCCUGGCUCCUACUGUCCUGAAGGCUCUGAAUCCCCAGUCCCUUGCAGCCCUGGGCACUUCAACUCUGACAGUGGAAAAUGGCAGACAAGAGACUGCCAGCUCUGCCCUGCUGGGUAUUUCUGUAGUGGUUCUGGAGCACGUACUCCUGAGCUGUGCCCUGCUGGGUACUUCUGUCUGCCAGGUACCAACUUCAGUGCACAGUAUCCAUGUCCGAAGGGAACGUUUGGCCCCAGGGCUGGUGCCACUAGUAGCUCUGACUGCGAGCCCUGCCCAGCAGGUAAGCAGGGACAUGGCAUGAGGAACUCAGGGGGUACAUGUGGAAAAGCUCAGGAAAAUGUGUCUUCUCCCUUCAUGUUACUGACUCCUCCACCAGUCUUCUGUGCAGGCCAUGUUAUGGAGAUUGCUUUUCUGUUCGUUUUAGGCAUGUAUUGCUCAGCACCGGGUCUUUCCCAGCCUUCUGGAUUGUGCUACUCAGGUUAUCACUGUGCCAGUGGAGCCACCAGCCCAGCGCCCUUCAAACACAGGGUGAGUGAGUGCUGGGCAGCAGCAGAGUAAGGCUAGCUUCCUGGGGACAAGGACUGGACUGUCACAAUCUCAUAGCUUCUAGCGUAACGUUUUCCAAGUAGUACUGCUCUGUAUAGAGUUACUCUUGCCUGCUACUGCUGCCCUUGAGAGCUCCCCAGGUAGCCUAAUGUUCUGCUCUUAACAUCUGCUGGAACAUGUAGCUGCCUGCUAACAACUUCUGGCCAGACCUCCAUUUCUGUAGAUUGUACUGGAGCGUGCAAAGGUCUCUUCCAAAUGAUGACAGCAGUGAUCAGAUAGCCAUGGCUCAGCAGCCAACACUUCCAGCAACCUUUUUAUGCCAGCUGUGGUCUUCAUGUAGUUUCAGGGGCAGAAAGCUUGCAGGACUCAGCUCAUACAUAACCUUUCCAGAACCUAUCCCUGUAGUACUUGGUGCCAAAGUUUGUUUCAGUAAUAUUUUUGCUUUCUUUCUCUGUUUUCUUUUUUUCUUACACAGGUGGAAUCUUCUGGCCUUGGUGUGCCUACUAAUGACAUCUGUCCCGUCGGGCAUUUCUGCCCCACUGGUACAGGUUAUCCCCUGCCCUGUCCUCCUGGAUCCUUCUCUGCUGUCACGGGCCUGGAGGCAGAAGAGCAGUGCCAGCCCUGCCCAGCAGGACGGUAUUGCAGUGGCGCAGGAUUGUUUGAUCUGGCUCAGAUGUCGCUGUGUAACGCAGGGUGCGGUGAGAAAGUCGCUUGUUAGUGGGAAAAUACAGCUGACGGGAUUACUGUAGGUUAAAGCAGUCUCUUGUGUGCAAACAUUUAUACUCAAGAUUAAUUAAACUGCAAAGACUUUGUUCUUAGCCCUCCAGGUUGUCUAUACAGCAUCUGCUUGGUGAUCUCACUAAAUGGCGUCAAAACUAUUCCUUCUCCCUCUACAUUUGCCUCACAUUCUGUCCCAGCCUUAUACAUGGUCUUUUACUGUUUUCCCCUUAGGUUCAGUUUAUUACAAAACCCUUAUUUAGUCUCAUAAUUACACUUGAUGAGCAUUUGACCU